ensembl:lncRNA
UUUCUUUCCGGCAGUCAGUCCUUUUGGUGUUUUCUGCUGCAAGCCGAGGGCGUGAGAAUUCAGCAGUGUUAAACCUUGAGGUACUGGGACAUAAACGUACAGCCCAAAGCAGGGUAUCCAGAAACGCUCACCCCGUUUCUUGACGUGUAUACAGCCCCGUCUGGGCAGGAGGACAAGCAAAGGAAGCUGGCUUUCUCUCAGAUGGCAAUUCUGAAGAUAGACUUCCAGCUGCUGGUACACUGCAAGCAACUUUAUCUCUAUCUUAAUAUGUCCAUCCGUAUUGUCUCAGCUGUAAUGCCUUUGAAAUGGCAGCGGAGGCUGGAGGUUGUGCUUUGCAGAGCAUGAGGACACAGAGGGACAAUUACACCACAAUUUUCUGGGAUAGGACCUAGGGUUGAAAUCUGAAUCAUCCAUACUUUGUGAGUGGGUGUCUUGCAGUAUGAGUACAAACUGACCUCUUCAGUCAGCCUCAGCAUAAAUGCAAAAUAUGAACAGUAUUUAUCCCUCAAUGAAAGGGAAUUUCUGCCUGAUUCCUUCUUUUCCAACAUUUGCUGUGACAAAGAGCAGUUUGGCUAUAGUCAUAUCAGGUGCUCUGUCUGCAGCAGAGUGUUUCUUUCCCAGCUUAUUAGUGUGCCCUCAAUCUUGCUGUAUUAGCUCUUUCCUUGUUCAUCUACUCAAGUUUCAGCUUUCCAAACCCCUUCAUACGUAUGUAACAUAAUGAAGGGCAAGGAGAAUAUUUUUUUUAGAUUGCAGGGGAAGUAAAUAAUUCUGAGCAAUGUUGAACCCUGCUGCCUAGUCCUAUGCCUUGCAGAUACUUGUUCAUUGAUCUGUCUGGUGGAAAGGAACUUGUGGAUCUCUUGUAUCAGCAUCCUGUUGAUUCUGGGAGCUGGGGCUAUUUCUGUCUCUCUUCUCUCUCCAUUGCUGUACAUUUUUUAGAUUUCUGUUUUUGAAAGAAUGCCAAAUAGCAGGCUAAAUAGGUCAAAGACUGUAGGAGAGGAGGAACGUGAAUGGAAACUUAAAACAGACAAAGAGCCGAGGUAAAGAGGCCUGAGGAAAAGAAAAUGCAUUUUGCAGUUUAUUUUCUGCUACGGUGUGUUUAAGAUAGGUGACUGAUGGCAUAAUUAAUGACUAGGCAGAAUUACUGUGUU